rnacentral:rRNA from 1 species
UACGUAGGGUGCAAGCGUUAAUCGGAAUUACUGGGCGUAAAGCGCGCGUAGGCGGCUUUUCAAGUCGAUUGUGAAAUCCCCCGGGCUUAACCUGGGAACUGCAGUCGAGACUGUCUAGCUAGAGUAUGGGAGAGGGAAGUGGAAUUUCAGGUGUAGCGGUGAAAUGCGUAGAUAUCUGAAGGAACAUCAGUGGCGAAAGCGACUUCCUGGACCAAUACUGACGCUCAUGUGCGAAAGCGUGGGGAGCAAACAGG